UGGGUAACGUGCCCCGAUGACUGGGACAACCCGGGGAAACCCGGGCUAAUACCGGAUAUGCCCCCUGACAUUUGUCAGGUGUGUAAAGGAAGCUUCGGCCUCCGCAUCGGGAUCGGCCCGCGGCGCAUUAGCUUGUUGGUGGGGUAAUGGCCUACCAAGGCAGCGAUGCGUAGCUGGUCUGAGAGGACGAUCAGCCACACUGGGACUGAGACACGGCCCAGACCUCCCGUACGGGAGGNAG
rnacentral:rRNA from 1 species